AGUGCAAAGAGAGAGGGAUUAGGGUCACCUCCACUCCCAAUGGUCCCACCGACGAUGUUGCAGACAUGGCUAUUUUACUCGCAAUCGCAACUUUGAGGAGGAUUUGUGUAGCUGAUCGCUUCGUCAGGAAUGGGAUUUGGCAGGAAAAGGAUUUCAAUUUGACCGCUAAGGUACAUUUUUAGCCUUAGGUCCAACUUAUCUCUCUAAUUUU
rnacentral:misc_RNA from 1 species